rnacentral:rRNA from 1 species
AUACGGAGGGUGCAAGCGUUACUGGGAAUCACUGGGCGUAAAGCGCGCGCAGGCGGCUCGAUAAGUUGGAUGUGGAAGCCUACGGCUCAACCGUAGAACUGCAUCCAAAACUGUCAAGCUAGAGUCUGGGAGGGGAAGAUGGAAUUAGUUGUGUAGGGGUAAAAUCCGUAGAGAUAACUAGGAAUACCAAAAGCGAAGGCGAUCUUCUGGAACACUACUGACGCUGAGGCGCGAAGGCGUGGGGAGCAAACAGGAUUAGAAACCCCGGUAGUCC